AGUCGUAACAAGGUAUCCGUAGGUGAACCUGCGGAUGGAUCAUUACCAAAGGAUUCAUUUCCAACGUAUUGUGAACUGUUUUGAACUUACGGUCAGUGUUUUACUCGUGAAUAUUGUAUACGGCAACGUUACGAUAUGAGCGGUAAGCACUGGCUGUACCCUUAAACACGUAUAUAUUAAACUGAAGUCUGUUUUAGAUUAAACUAAAACAACUUUUAGCAACGGAUCUCUUGGCUCUC
rnacentral:misc_RNA from 1 species